GUUUGUGUUAUAAUUUUGUUGUUCAUCUCUUAAGGAGUUUACCAGAGACCAGUAUUCUUUUGGGUUUUCGGUUUCCAAAUUGUCCAAGCGAUCUAAGAUAAGUUGUUUGAAUUCUUUUUUCUUUUUUCUCCUUAUUUUGAGUAUUGUUUAUUUGUCUUAAAAAAAGAGCCCCGUACGAUUGGGACUUUUGGAAAUUUUUGACAUUAAAUUGCCAUUUUCUGUGACAAUUUUUUUAAGUUGUUCCAGAUCAUGAUCAAACUAUUUUUUAUAUAUUUUCUGUUAAUUUUUUUUUCUUUCUUUCUCAAGGAUGCUUUACAUACUUUAUCAAAAAUUGUGUGGACUUUACUGGUGUAUAAAUCAAUGUUUUCUGGGGUAAGCUCCAUCUUUUCAUUCAUAAAACUUUUAAUUUCAUUUUGAAUAGCAGGAUUACAAAAUGUUUCUUGAAAUUUAAUAAUACUUUCAUGGUCCCAUAUAUAUCUUGUUGGAAAAUCAAUUGACCCUUUUUGCUUGCGUUCUAUUUCAAAGUUGGCUAAGAUUUUUAAAGAUAUUUUACAAUGGCAGUCUGAUAAACAUGGAAUGAAUUCAUUUACAUUCAUAUAUAAUAAUUGUGACAACAAUGAUUGUGAGACUAUAAUAUAAUCGACUACACUACAUCCAUUUGGUUUAAAACAUGUAUAAGUACCAUUAACAUUACCACAACAUCUACCAUU
rnacentral:lncRNA from 1 species